CACGUAGGGUGCGAGCGUUUGUCCGGAUUUAUUGGGCGUAAAGAGCUCGUAGGCGGCUUGUUGCGUCGACCGUGAAAACCCGGGGCUCAACUUCGGGCUUGCGGUCGAUACGGGCGGGCUAGAGUUCGGUAGGGGAGACUGGAAUUCCUGGUGUAGCGGUGAAAUGCGCAGAUAUCAGGAGGAACACCGGUGGCGAAGGCGGAUCUCUGGGCCAUUGACUGACGCUGAGGAGCGAAAGCGUGGGGAGCGAACAGG
rnacentral:rRNA from 1 species